GGCACAAACUUGACGUAGAGUAGAUUAGUAUGGCCAGCUGGUCCUACUCAACUAAUCUACUUCAAAUUUGGGUCC
rfam:Haemonchus contortus, ISE/inbred ISE, WGS project CAVP01000000 data, contig: Hcontortus_contig_pathogens_Hcontortus_scaffold_2976